GACGAACGCUGGCGGCGUGCUUAACACAUGCAAGUCGAACGCUGAAGCUUGGUGCUUGCCCUGGGUGGAUGAGUGGCGAACGGGUGAGUAAUAAGUGAGUAACCUGCCCUUGACUCUGGGAUAAGCCUGGGAAACUGGGUCUAAUACUGGAUACGACAUGUCACCGCAUGGUGGUGUGUGGAAAGGGUUUUACUGGUUUUGGAUGGGCUCACGGCCUAUCAGCUUGUUGGUGGGGUAAUGGCUCACCAAGGCGACGACGGGUAGCCGGCCUGAGAGGGUGACCGGCCACGCUGGGACUGAGACACGGCCCAGACUCCUACGGGAGGCAGCAGUGGGGAAUAUUGCACAAUGGGCGGAAGCCUGAUGCAGCGACGCCGCGUGGGGGAUGACGGCCUUCGGGUUGUAAACCUCUUUCAGCACGGAAGAAGCGAAAGUGACGGUACGUGCAGAAGAAGCGCCGGCUAACUACGUG
rnacentral:rRNA from 1 species